GAUGAACGCUGGCGGCAUGCCUAACACAUGCAAGUCGAACGGAGCUAUUAGACGGAAGCCUUCGGGCGGAAGAUUAAUAGCUUAGUGGCGGACGGGUGAGUAACGCGUGAGUAACCUGCCUCUCAGAGGGGGAUAACGUUCUGAAAAGAACGCUAAUACCGCAUAUAAUCAAGAAACCGCAUGAUUUUUUGAUGAAAGGAGCAAUCCGCUGAGAGAUGGACUCGCGUCUGAUUAGCUAGAUGGUGGGGUAACGGCCUACCAUGGCGACGAUCAGUAGCCGGACUGAGAGGUUGAACGGCCACAUUGGGACUGAGACACGGCCCAGACUCCUACGGGAGGCAGCAGUGGGGGAUAUUGCGCAAUGGGGGAAACCCUGACGCAGCAAUGCCGCGUGAAGGAAGAAGGUUUUCGGAUUGUAAACUUCUUUUGUUAAGGACGAAGAAUGACGGUACUUAACGAAUAAGCUCCGGC
rnacentral:rRNA from 1 species